UCUAAUAUGGCAGAUUAGUGCAAUGGCCUUAAGACCCAUUCAUAAAGAUUUUAAUUCUUUUUUUAGAA
rnacentral:tRNA from 1 species